CUCAAGAUGAGAUAUCCCGUGGUAAACACGUAAGACCCCUUGAAGACGACAAGGUAGAUAGGGCUGGGGUGUAAGCAUGGCAACAUGUUCAGCUGACAGUCACUAAUAGGUCGAGGGCUUAUCCUA
rnacentral:rRNA from 1 species